GUUGUAAUUGGAAUGAAUGUUGCUACAUCUGAAUUGACAUGUGAUUUGAACUUCAAGGAAGAGAACAACAACGGGUCUCAAAAAAUAUCCGAAGUGCAGCUCAAAGAUCUCUAUAAAUCGUUUGUGAGCGAGUACCCUAUUACUCAAAGGUUAACCAAAUUGGAUCUGUUACUGGGAGCAUUGAAGCUGUGAAAAUGCCAA